rnacentral:rRNA from 1 species
GACGAACGCUGGCGGCGUGCCUAAUGCAUGCAAGUCGAGCGCAGGAAACUGACGGAACUCUUCGGAGGGAAGGCAGUGGAAUGAGCGGCGGACGGGUGAGUAACACGUAAGGAACCUGCCUCAAGGAUUGGGAUAACUCCGAGAAAUCGGAGCUAAUACCGGAUAGUUCAACGGACCGCAUGGUCCGCUGAUGAAAGGCGCUCCGGCGUCACCUUGAGAUGGCCUUGCGGUGCAUUAGCUAGUUGGUGGGGUAACGGCCCACCAAGGCGACGGUGCAUAGGCGACCUGAGAGGGUGAUCGGCCACACUGGGACUGAGACACGGCCCAGACUCCUACGGGAGGCAGCAGUAGGGAAUCUUCCACAAUGGACGAAAGUCUGAUGGAGCAACGCCGCGUGAGUGAUGGAGGUUUUCGGAUCGUAAAACUCUGUUGUAAGGGAAGAACACGUACGAGAGGGAAUGCUCGUACCUUGACGGUACCUUACGAGAAAGCCACGGCUAACUACGUGCCAGCAGCCGCGGUAAAAC